CCUUGUCCGUUUUGCAGCCUCAAGUCCCAAGUCUGGGUCUCUGCCCGAAUGUGUGUCUGGAAAGGUAGUCUGCGGGGAGUGGACUAUUCAAUUUGUCCCCUGCCCCCAGUGCCCUCACCAGCCUGAUGGCCUCUCUUGGCCCUGAGGGCAGCAUGGGUGCGGUACCUCCCUGGAGACCUCCGUCUGUCAGGCCUGAGUCAGCCUUCCAUAGGUUUUUCACCAGUCCUCUGCUGCCGGGGCUAGACGCUGCACCAGGGCAGAGCAGCCUGGCUCAAAGCAGAGAUUCUGUGCCUGUGGAUCUGACGACCAUGCACCUGACCCAUCACAGGAGUCUGGGGCCAUGUGAACAGCAUCUCCACCAGACAGGUGGCAGACAGGUUCCCACGGGGUCACACCUCUGGGUGUCGUUCCCUCAUCCCCUUCUCUUUCCUUGCCUGGCCUCCUGUUUGGCAACUUGCUGGCCAAGGUUUCCCCCAAGCUUCCAGCUCACCCAAACUGAAUCACAGCCCAGAGUGUUUGUCUGUGACCCUAUGGAUGGACAUUCGGGUCCUUCCCACUGUUUGGCUGUUGCAGACACUGCUGCCCGUGGCAUCCCGCAUGCCUGUCUGAGCCACCACCGUCAGCGAGAAAGGCUCUGGGGUGCACAGCCGGCAGUGGCUCUGCUGGGACUUGGGCUGUGCCCAUCAACGCCACGACCAAGCAUGGCUCAUCUGUGACCUCCGGGAGAGACACCACCUCAUCGCUGUGUGCCUUGGGUUUCCCCGAUCGGUGACGAGGUCUCUCACUGGCCGUUCCCGGUUCCUCUUCUGUGAAUCUCCUUUGCUCCUUUCCUCCUCAUCUUACAGGUGACAGGCGUCAUCAGCCCGUUUCCAGGAGAAAGUUCCUAGCGUCAAGAUCGAAGCCUUUCUCCUUUUGUGAUAUAAGCCAUGGCCAGUCUAUCACGUUGCCCAGAAGCAGGUCGCAUUGGAGUGGGCCUCACAAUUAGACUUUGGCUCGCCCGUAUGGUUGUGAAACGUUUCAGAAUCAAGAUGGAGUCACUUGUUGUUCAAGCAAACAAAAAUCCAAAAACCUGACAAAUAGAGCUGUGGAGGGCCAUGGAGGCAGGGUUCCCAUGCACGAAUGCCUGAUAACAAAAGCCAUCACAGAAGACUGCAAAACCCACAAAUUGGCACAAAGGCUGUUGCAACCUGACACAAAUAAUGCUUCUGCGAGGACACCUGCCCAGCAACUUCCUGUCCAAGUCCCUGACCAAUGCUACCCUUGUUAUUCAUCCUUGUAGCCAAAGAUCAUUAUCUCAAAACAAUUAUGUAAUCCUCUUCACUUUUCCUGAAAAACCUUUGUCUUCCUUUUCCCUGCCUGAAUAUGCACAUAGUUCACUAGGGCGCACGCGUCCCCACUGCAACGCCUAUUUCUGAAUAGAUACCAUUUUCUUAUA